rnacentral:tRNA from 1 species
GGUGGCUCAUGGGCAGAGUGCUUGCCUUGCAUGCAUGAGGCCCUGGGUUCAAUUCCUUGGCACCA